GACCACCCUGACGGGUCGAGGCCAUACGGACAGCCGGGUCGAAUGCCGA
rnacentral:sRNA from 1 species